rnacentral:rRNA from 1 species
GGAUUAGAUACCCUGGUAGUCCUAGCUGUAAACGAUGGAUACUAGACGUAGGAACUGGAUUGACGGUUUCUGUGUCGCAGUUAACGCAUUAAGCACUCCGCCUGGGGAGUACGGUCGCAAGAUUAAAACUCAAAGGAAUUGACGGGGGCCCGCACAAGCGGUGGAGCAUGUGGUUUAAUUCGACGCAACGCGAAGAACCUUACCAGCUCUUGACAUUGCUAAGUCGCGAGUUUUAGAGAUAAAACUCUUCAGUUCGGCUGGACUUAGUACAGGUGCUGCAUGGCUGUCGUCAGCUCGUGCCG